AUUGAACGCUCGCGGCAGGCCUAACACAUGCAAGUCGAACGAGUGGCGGACGGGUGAGUAAUGUCUGGGAAACUGCCUGAUGGAGGGGGAUAACUACUGGAAACGGUAGCUAAUACCGCAUACCAUCGGAUGUGCCCAGAUGGGAUUAGCUAGUAGGUGGGGUAACGGCUCACCUUGGCGACGAUCCCUAGCUGGUCUGAGAGGAUGACCAGCCACACUGGAACUGCGACACGGGCCAGACUCCUACGGGAGGCAGCAGUGGGGAAUAUUGCACAAUGGGCGACAGCCUGAUGCAGCCAUGCCGCGUGUAUGGAGAAGGCCAUCGGGUUGUAAAAUACUGUCGGCGGGGAGGCGUUACCCGCAGAAGAAGCACCGGCUAACUCCGUGCCAGCCGCCGCGGUAAUUC
rnacentral:rRNA from 1 species